GACGAAGGGGGCUAGCGUUGUUCGGAAUUACUGGGCGUAAAGCGCGUGUAGGCGGUUGUUCAAGUCAGGUGUGAAAGCCUUGAGCUCAACUCAAGAAAUGCACUUGAUACUGGAUGACUAGAGGACCGGAGAGGAUAGUGGAAUUCCCAGUGUAGUGGUGAAAUACGUAGAGAUUGGGAAGAACACCAGUGGCGAAGGCGGCAUCCUGGACCGGCAUUGACGCUGAGGAGCGAAAGCCAGGGGAGCAAACGGG
rnacentral:rRNA from 1 species